AAUAUUUGAAACACCAGUGAAUAUUUCAGAAAAUGAUAUGUUAGAAUUCUUUAUCAUGUUAUGAAACUGAUCAUAAUGGAAUCUAACCCCAAACGAGUUCAAAUCACCCAACAUGGGUAACUAGAAUCUAGUCAAACCUAAGAAGGUGAAAGACCAUUAAGAGAACAUAUCUUGUCCACAGAUAUAUCAAUAAUUAAUAAAGCAAUCCCAUGAAGGCAGUA
rnacentral:misc_RNA from 1 species